GACGAACGCUGGCGGUGUGCUUAAUACAUGCAAGUCGAACGGCUCUUCGGAGCAGUGGCGGACGGCUGAGUAACGCGUAGGUAACGUGCCUCUUACUGGGGGAUAACAUCGGGAAAAUGGUGCUAAUACCGCAUAAGUUACGAGUCGAAAUACUUGUGAUUAAAGAAUUUCGGUAAGAGAUCGGCCUGCGUCUGAUUAGCUAGUUGGUAGGGUAAUGGCCUACCAAGGCGAUGAUCAGGAGUUGGUCUGAGAGGAUGACCAGCCAGAGUGGGACUGAGAACGGCCCACACUUCUACGGAAGGCAGCAGUAGGGAAUUUUGCGCAAUGGGCGAAAGCCUGACGCAGCAACACCGCGUGCGGGAUGAAGGCCUUCGGGUCGUAAACCGCUGUCGGCAGGGAAUAAAUUGACUGUACCUGCAAAGGAAGCACCGGCUAACUACGUGCCAGCAGCCGCGGUAA
rnacentral:rRNA from 1 species